rnacentral:lncRNA from 1 species
AAUGAUGGUAUCACCUUGCGACUAAGGAUUUUCCAUCACACAUGGUCCACAUUUGAAUGUUCAUAUUCAGAAACACGGCUGGGUGAAACUAAAGUUUACUCAUUUUUGGAUGGCAGAAACAAACCACAGAUUGAAAUAGAAGACAUGAGGAACCCAGACUAGGAAAUAAGUCUGGUGCAUGAAGAUGACGGUCUAUGUAAUCUAGAACCUUUCUACUCCAAGUGUGAUAUGCAGACCAGCAGUAUCAGUACUCCCUGGGAGCUCUUUGUGAUUGUGGAAUCUCAGUCUCCAGCCCAGACCUGCUGAAUCGAAAUGUGCUUGGAAAACUCCUC